rnacentral:rRNA from 1 species
AAAACUUUCAACAACGGAUCUCUUGGUUCUCGCAUCGAUGAAGAGCGCAGCGAAAUGCGAUACCUAGUGUGAAUUGCAGCCAUCGUGAAUCAUCGAGUUCUUGAACGCACAUUGCGCCCCUCGGCAUUCCGGGGGGCAUGCCUGUUUGAGCGUCGU